GAUGAAGAACGCAGCGAAAUGCGAUAAGUAAUGUGAAUUGCAGAAUUCAGUGAAUCAUCGAAUCUUUGAACGCACAUUGCGCCCGCCAGUAUUCUGGCGGGCAUGCCUGUCCGAGCGUCAUUUCAACCCUCGAACCCCUCCGGGGGGUCGGCGUUGGGGAUCGGGAACCCCUAAGACGGGAUCCCGGCCCCGAAAUACAGUGGCGGUCUCGCCGCAGCCUCUCCUGCGCAGUAGUUUGCACAACUCGCACCGGGAGCGCGGCGCGUCCACGUCCGUAAAACACCCAACUUCUGAAAUGUUGACCUCGGAUCAGGUAGGAAUACCCGCUGAACUUAAGCAUAUCAAUAGCGGAGGA
rnacentral:misc_RNA from 1 species